UGGGUUCUAGGUUACCCUCCUGGGUGUUCCUAAGCUGCCUGGCCUCUAGUUAUUCACUUGGCAAGCAUUUAUUGGGUGCUUCCUAUGUGCCAGGCAUUGUGCUUGGCUUUGAAAGGUGUCAAGAGCAGCAGAGACCUGGUACAGAGUCAAAGACAGAUGGCUUAUUAGUAGUCAUCUCAUUUAAAUCUCAUAGAAUUUUCCCACUAAAUCUCAAAGUAAGUAAUUUGUUAUAGGCUAUUAUAGGCUAUUUGGUCAAGUGCAUGGAAGGGACAGCAUUAGGACAUGUGGUAGUUCAUUUCCAAAUUACUUGAGAUGAUUUUCAUUGUAAUCAUAUAUUAUUUGGUUCUGGUUUUCCGGAAAAGCCAGCUAAACCUUUGUUUUAUUUAGAUAUAAAUGAAAUAUCUUCAAAGGAUUGCUCAAAGUGACUUAUGCAGCUUGAAUAUAUAUUUUUUCCUUAGGGUGUUUAUCCCAAAUUAUCUGGCUAUUUACUGCAAUUUUCAGUUAAAAAAAUAGUUAUUUUUCAAGUUAGAGAUGUUUUAGUAAAAGCAGUCAUUUUGAGCUGGCAGCAGCCAAAUAAAACAGCCCUUCAAAGGACAUGAACUCACCCUUUUUUAUGGCUGCAUAGUGUUCCAUGGUGUAUAUGUGCCACAUUUUCUUUAUCCAAUCUAUUAUUGAUGGACAUUUAGGUUGGUUCCAAGUCUUUGAUAUUGUGAAUAGUGCUGCAGUAA
rnacentral:lncRNA from 1 species